CAGUAGCCGCGGUAAUACGAAGAGGGCUAGCGUUGUUCGGAAUCACUGGGCGUAAAGCGCACGUAGGCGGAUACUUAAGUCAGGGGUGAAAUCCCGGGGCUCAACCUCGGAACUGCCUUUGAUACUGGGUAUCUUGAGUCCGGGAGAGGUUGGUGGAACUCCGAGUGUAGAGGUGAAAUUCGUAGAUAUUCGGAAGAACACCAGUGGCGAAGGCGGCCAACUGGCCCGGUACUGACGCUGAGGUGCGAAAGCGUGGGGAGCAAACAGGAUUAGAUACCCCAGUAGUCCCUGUCUCUUAUAC
rnacentral:rRNA from 1 species